UGGUAAAAAACCGUUAAUAUUCAAACUGUCAGAGAUGAGAGCUAGCUAGGGCCUGGGGCUAGGGGGAACAGACUGCAGUCGUUGCUGUAGCCUCCUUGUGGUGAACCAUGUAUCCUCUACUAUCUAUGGUACAAGCCGUACUGUACAAGUGAAAGCAAUCCUUGAGAUCUGCAACGUCUUGGUCUACAAAGAGUCUGUCGUUCACUUCUCAUUUCUGGAUUCUUAACCCAUGUUCCUGUGCAUCAUUACUGUGUGGCUUGUGCUACACUGAGUACAUAUUUUUGUCUUCAAAUUUUGAGUGGAGUUUCUACUGGGACUAUUGUAGCAUUGUCCUUGGGACCGAGGCUACAGACUGCUCUGCCUCAUAAGUGAAGAGGCGAACACAAAUGCCAGAAUGUUCUUUCACAAUAAUAAUUGUUUUUUGUGCAAUAAAACAAUGUUUGCUGUAUUAAUUUCAA